GACGAACGCUGGCGGCGUGCUUAACACAUGCAAGUCGAACGGUGACGGAGGAGCUUGCUCCUCCUGAUCAGUGGCGAACGGGUGAGUAACACGUGAGCAACCUACCCUCGACUCUGGGAUAACUUCGAGAAAUCGGAGCUAAUACCGGAUACGAGACGCGCAGGCAUCUGCAGCGUCUGGAAAGAUUUAUCGGUCGGGGAUGGGCUCGCGGCCUAUCAGCUAGUUGGUGAGGUAACGGCUCACCAAGGCGACGACGGGUAGCCGGCCUGAGAGGGCGACCGGCCACACUGGGACUGAGACACGGCCCAG
rnacentral:rRNA from 1 species